rnacentral:lncRNA from 1 species
GAUGUUUUUUUUUUGCAUCCCUAGACCAAGCCUUAUGCUUAUCCAUUCACCUAAAGAUUUUGUACUUUUAUUGUAACUGCUUGUUCAAAUUAUAAAUUCUUUUCACAUAAUAUUUAAAGCUUUUAAAAUCAAAAUUAUUUAAUGACAUUUCCUUUCUGAAAUAAAUUUUAAAAAUUUUUCAUUUACAGACAAAAAUUCAACUGUCGGUUAUCAUUUAGAUUCGUAGUGCUUUAGACAUGCCUAAAACAAGCUGGGUUUGGAAGCAUGCUUUUGUGAUGAAUGACGGAUUCGUCAAGUGCGAUGUAUGUGACACCAAGUUGCAUUAUGGAGUAUCCACUUCAACUGUGCGCAAGCACUUAAAACAGAAACACAAGCUUCUGUAUCGGUAAAGGAAAGAUUUUUGCAUGAAGAUGAAAAUGAAGAUGAACGCUCUGAUUCUAGCAUACAGGAAUCAUUCAGUCCCGAGUCCGCAAACAACAAUGAAGAAGGUGUUAUGAUUAAAAGACCGAGAGAUUCGUCAUCAUCGUCAUCGCAAGAAGCCGCGCCUCCUCAUUUUCUGUCAAAAAGACAAGAGAAUAUUACCAAAGCUCUCGCAAAAAUUUUAGCUAUGUGCCAAUUGCCAUUGUCUUUUUCGCACAGUCAAGGAUUUAUUAACUUCAUGAAAGAAUUCGAUUCCGGAUAUAAGGUGCCGUAACCCCAGGAAAUAAAAUUUUGGGACUUGCAUACAGUGAAGUGAGGGAAAAGAUCACAAAGCGAUUAGAAACAGUAUCAUCAGUUUCUCUGACAACUGAUGAGUGGUCUUCAUUGGCAAAUGAAGGGUAUUUGUCCACGACCGUACACUACAUUGAUUAUAGCUGGUCUUUGUGUACACAUACGCU